rnacentral:rRNA from 1 species
AGCGAACGCUGGCGGCAGGCCUAACACAUGCAAGUCGAACGAAGUCUUCGGACUUAGUGGCGGACGGGUGAGUAACACGUGGGAACGUACCUUUUGGUUCGGAACAACUCAGGGAAACUUGAGCUAAUACCGGAUGAGCCAGUAGGGGGAAAGAUUUAUCGCCGAAAGAGCGGCCCGCGGUAGAUUAGCUAGUUGGUGAGGUAAAGGCUCACCAAGGCUACGAUCUAUAGCUGGUCUGAGAGGAUGAUCAGCCACACUGGGACUGAGACACGGCCCAGAGUCCUACGGGAGGCAGCGGUGGGGAAUCCUGCGCAAGGAGCGAAAGCCUGACGCAGCCAUGCCGCGUGAAUGAUGAAGGUCUUAGGAUUGAAAAAUUCUUUUACCAGGGACGAUAAUGACGGUACCUGGAGAAAAAGCCCCGGCUAACUUCGUGCCAGCCGCCGCCGUAAUAC